rnacentral:rRNA from 1 species
GAUGAACGCUGGCGGCGUGCCUAAUACAUGCAAGUCGAGCGAACAGACGAGGAGCUUGCUCCCCUGACGUUAGCGGCGGACGGGUGAGUAACACGUGGAUAACCUACCUAUAAGACUGGGAUAACUUCGGGAAACCGGAGCUAAUACCGGAUAAUAUAUUGAACCGCAUGGUUCAAUAGUGAAAGACGGUUUUGCUGUCACUUAUAGAUGGAUCCGCGCCGCAUUAGCUAGUUGGUAAGGUAACGGCUUACCAAGGCGACGAUGCGUAGCCGACCUGAGAGGGUGAUCGGCCACACUGGAACUGAGACACGGUCCAGACUCCUACGGGAGGCAGCAGUAGGGAAUCUUCCGCAAUGGGCGAAAGCCUGACGGAGCAACGCCGCGUGAGUGAUGAAGGUCUUCGGAUCGUAAAACUCUGUUAUUAGGGAAGAACAAAUGUGUAAGUAACUAUGCACGUCUUGACGGUACCUAAUCAGAAAGCCACGGCUAACUACGUG